rnacentral:rRNA from 1 species
UUGACUCAAUCAGGUAGGACUACCCGCUGACUUA